UAUUGUAUUUAAAAAAAAAUCCCUAAAAGCUUCAGCCCCCAGCCGACCCUCUCUUCUCCCCUGCCCUGCCGACCCUAUCUUCUCCCUCAGCCUUUCCAUGAGUCUCCCUCAGUUUCAGACUCGCACCUGGCCGCACAUGGACGCCGUCGACGAGAUCCGUGGCUCGCUCAAGCAGAUGCGGAGAGGCUUGCUGCAACGGUGGCUCGUGGCUCGCGGCUCGCGGCUCACGAUGAGGUGGUGGCUCGCGAUGAGGCGGUGGGUUCCAGCCGUGGGUUCAGUUGUGGACUAAGGCUCGAUGAAAAAGGGACAAGCAGGGGCUAAGGUGGACAAUGAAGGGAUAUCGUCAGAGCUCUAAUGGCGAGGGCUUGAACGGCGCAGGCGAGGGUCGACUGUGACUUCAUUGAAGAGGUCGAACAGAAAGGAAGAGAGAUGUUCCGGAGCCGAUUAUCACCAUUUUUGUUGGUGAAGAGCAACCGUAAGGCUCUCUACAACCACCUCACCCAAGCAACAUCAUCUUCGUCUAGAGUUGUGAGGGAGGAGACCUCUAGAUUUUUCUCCACCGGAAUCGUACGGAGAAUUCUGCAUGACUUCCGAUCUUCCCCUAAGGUUCUUCUAACUCUAUCCUUAGAACUAAAA